ensembl:lncRNA
UAGUUUCACAUUGAUUGUUAAGGUGUGGAGGUUGCUGAGCAUAAUGAUAAUCAUCCACGGAAGGUUUGUAUGUGUGUUUGAUUAAGAUGUGUGGGAUGCUGAAUAGCAGACAGACAUUGUGGAUAACAAGCAUAGGCACCCCUAAUCAAGGCUUUGCUUACUCCUCAGUAACAGUAUUAGGUCACCCGUGAUUGAUUCAAAUGAGAGGAAGCAUCAAGACAUUUUUUACAAGUCUUUUAAGCCUGAAUUGCUGUGCGAGUAUCAACAUACGGAAGUUCUGUUUAAUUUCAGUGAGAAAGUUUGGAGUGUAUGCACUUGAGUGUAUGAAAUAUAAAAACACAAUGGAGCACAAGCCAGAGAUUUUUUUUAAAAAAAGGAAAGAAAAAUCCUGCACGUUUCAUGUUUAGUGUUUUAUAGUCCUCAAGAGGGCAGCUGCAAAGAAGAGAGUGUGAGAACAGCUGCACAGAAGUGUUUGAGAAAAUCCUAAAAUGUGUAGGUGUUUUUUUUUUUUUCAAUCAAUAGGUCCUCUAAAUCAAAGUAUUUAAUGAGUGUGAACUACUGCUGUGUUUACUUUUUCCUCAUUCAAGUUCAUCCACGGCAGUGGGCAGGAUCAAUUUGUUUGUUGUCUCCAACACUUAAGAUUAUUAAUUAUAUUUUUACAAUUUAAAACUGAGCAAGUUUAUAAUUACUUUGGCAAUCCUAGGCACUGUGAACCAGUCCAGUUAGAGGCUUGUAAUGCAUUGUUUAUAUGAGUAUCUUGAGUCAUAUUUGAGCGAUGUCCAUGAUAAAUCACUGUCAAGGUUGGAUUUAAUUGUUUGCAAUUGCCAGCUGCUUGCCUUUUCUGUUACUUCAGAUGCUUGAUUUUUUCUUUUUUCUUUUGCUGUGUGCUUUGGGGAAGAUAUAAUAUUCAGUGCAGCUGUUUUGAGUGUUACCACACCACUGAAUGUCAGCUCAGUAGGCUGUUAUCACCUUGUUUAAUGAUGGUGGUUCAGCAGCAUUACUGAAAAGACAUAUAGGCGACGUAUUUCCACUUUAAACGUCUCAUUGAGAUUCGGGAGGUGUGAAAGAGGCAUACAUCAGAUGGUUUUAUCCUUGGAGAUUUGAGUGUAAAACUUUGUUAUUUACUUGCUCUUAACUUUAGUUUUCACAUUUUUGUUUCAUUUUUACAUAGCGAGUGGUUAGAUUUAAGGCACCUAAGCUGCUUGAAUAGGGUUUGUGAAAGAUCAUAUUUGAGUUAAAAUAAAAAACUUCAUAAUGUCAUACACAGAUUCUGAUUCAGAUUUUCUGCUUAUUUAAGAAGAACUGCAAGGUACAGGAGUAGAUCUUAUAGCAUUAUGUAUGGGAGUGAUUACAAUGAUAUUGGCUCUUGGCUGGUAAAAUUCUAGAAUAGUGGGAACUUAUUCUUUAUAGUUUAGGUCCUACUUUGUUU